AAGAAGUUAUAGAAAUUUCCUUCAUUCUCAUCUCCGAUGUUUACCUCCUUCUUCCAUGUUUGUUUAAGCUUUCAGUUGUUUGAUUCAAAUUUCAGCUAUUUGAUUCCUAUUGUAGUAGUUUGGUUGAUCAUUUACUCUAUAAUCGCAGUGUGUUUGGAUUGGUACUGUUUCAGAAUAUUAUGCCUUUUUGUUUCUUCAACCUUUAACCUUGACCAACACUAUUUAAGUAAAAUUUUGACAGCAAGUUAUUGCUUUCUUAGAAUUUCUGCAAAGAAAUUUCGCCUUUAUUCGUCUUAAGCAACCUUUUGAUUCACAUAAAUUUUGGGUAUGUUGGAUCAUGACUUGUUUGAUUCCUAUUGUCUUGUUGGAGUUGCAGAUUCUUGAAUGUUGCUAAUUUAUACUGAUAUCAUUGAGCUAUCAGUUAAUCAAUUGCAUAUAUAAUUAAAUGCCAUAUUUUUUACUAAUAUGAUUUCUUGGGUCCAGGUGCUAUAAGGAAGGAACGGGAGUAAACGCCUAGAUCUUUGUACUCCUCUUUAGGGAUUUCUGAAAAUGAGGUGGGAUAUUUUCAUAAGAAUGCAGUUUAUGCUAAUCAACGUAUACAAACUCCUAAAAGCACAAGAUCGAAUUUUACCAUGUCUUCUAAUUAAGAAAUGCGAACAAUGGAUAAAAACUCAUUGGUUCUUAAGAAAGAGCAUAUGCAGACCAAUAUUUUAUUGCCUCCAUCUAGUGAUCAAGCUAUGAAAAACUUCCAAACAGUUGAAACAGGUUCAUCUAAUCCUAAAAAGGUAAAAAGAGUUCGAGGUAGGAACAAGUGCAAAGAAGUUGCAUCACUUGAAGUUGGACAAAAGCUAAAAGUAACCUUUUACAACAAUCGAACGAUUGGAACAAAUAACAAACUAUUUUCGAGGCACUUGGGCAAAAUAGUUCGUGACCGCAAUAUGUGUCCGCUGGGAGUAUCAUCGUGAAAUGAUAUUGAGCAAGAAAAGUUGAAUCACAUUUGGGCAGCUAUUGAGGAUAAAUUUGAGACUAUUGACAUGAAUGAUCAUCGGGAUCAUAUCUUGGGAUGAAAGAAAUGAAGAAAAUAAGGGAAUUUUUCGCUGCUCAACAAUCACAUGUCUCGCCUACGACAUCGCUAAGCUGAAUGACUACUUUUGUCUACUGAUCAAGUUAAUAACAGUAUACCCUGCUUUUUAAUUAUUUCUUUUGUUAAUUUUAUAUAGUCAUUUCUAUCUUAUUUCUAUCUUUGUUGCAAUAUUAUAAAUGAAUGAGCCUCAAGGAUGGGAAUAA